rnacentral:rRNA from 1 species
AUUGAACGCUGGCGGCAUGCCUUACACAUGCAAGUCGAACGGCAGCACAGUAAGUUCCUGCUCUUACCGGGUGCGAGUCGCGGGCGGGAGAGGAAGACACCGGACCUUACGUUUUCGUGGGGGCGGAGGAAGGGAGACUUACGCUAAUACCGCUUACGAGCUACGAGUGAAAGCACUUGAGCUUUGGCCCUUUCGCGUUUGAAUGAGCCGAUGUCGGAUUAGCUAGUUGGCGGGGUAAAGGCCCACCAAGGCGACGAUCAGUAGCUGGUCUGAGAGGAUGAUCAGCCACACUGGAACUGAGACACGGUCCGGACUCCUACGGGAGGCAGCAGUGGGGAAUAUUGGACAAUGGGCGCAAGCCUGAUCCAGCAAUACCGCGUGUGUGAAGAAGGCCUUCGGGUUGUAAAGCCCUUUUGUUGGGAAAGAAAAGCAGCAGGCUAAUACCCCGGUGUUAUGACGGUACCCAAAGAAUAAGCACCGGCUAACUUCGUG